rnacentral:rRNA from 1 species
AACGAACGCUGGCGGCAUGCCUAACACAUGCAAGUCGAACAGUGGCGCACGGGUGCGUAACGCGUGGGAAUCUGCCCUUAGGUUCGGAAUAACAGCUGGAAACGGCUGAUAAAACCGGAAGCCGGAGGAUGAGCCCGCGUUGGAGUAGGUAGUUGGUGGGGUAACGGCUCACCAAGGCGACGAUCCCUAGCUGGUAUGAGAGGAUGACCAGCCACACUGGAACUGAGACACGGUCCAGACUCCUACGGGAGGCAGCAGUGGGGAAUUUUGCACAAUGGGCGCAAGCCUGAUCCAGCCAUGCCGCGUGUAUGAAGAAGGCCUUCGGGUUGUAAAGUACUUUCGGCGGGGAAGCGUUACCUGCAGAAGAAGCACCGGCUAACUCCGUGCCAGCAGCCGCGGUAAUUC